CACCCGAGACUCAGUGAAAUUGAACUCGCUGUGAAGAUGCAGUGUACCCGCGGCAAGACGGAAAGACCCCGUGAACCUUUACUAUAGCUUGACACUGAACAUUGAGCCUUGAUGUGUAGGAUAGGUGGGAGGCUUUGAAGCGUGGACGCCAGUCUGCGUGGAGCCGACCUUGAAAUACCACCCUUUAAUGUUUGAUGUUCUAACGUGGACCCGUUACCCGGGUUGCGGACAGUGUCUGGUGGGUAGUUUGACUGGGGCGGUCUCCUCCUAAAGAGUAACGGAGGAGCACGAAGGUUGGCUAAUCCUGGUCGGACAUCAGGAGGUUAGUGCAAUGGCAUAAGCCAGCUUGACUGCGAGCGUGACGGCGCGAGCAGGUGCGAAAGCAGGUCAUAGUGAUCCGGUGGUUCUGAAUGGAAGGGCCAUCGCUCAACGGAUAAAAGGUACUCCGGGGAUAACAGGCUGAUACCGCCCAAGAGUUCAUAUCGACGGCGGUGUUUGGCACCUCGAUGUCGGCUCAUCACAUCCUGGGGCUGAAGUAGGUCCCAAGGGUAUGGCUGUUCGCCAUUUAAAGUGGUACGCGAGCUGGGUUUAGAACGUCGUGAGACAGUUCGGUCCCUAUCUGCCGUGGGCGCUGGAGAACUGAGGGGGGCUGCUCCUAGUACGAGAGGACCGGAGUGGACGCAUCACUGGUGUUCGGGUUGUCAUGCCAAUGGCACUGCCCGGUAGCUAAAUGCGGAAGAGAUAAGUGCUGAAAGCAUCUAAGCACGAAACUUGCCCCGA
rnacentral:rRNA from 1 species